rnacentral:rRNA from 1 species
GACGAACGCUGGCGGCGUGCUUAACACAUGCAAGUCGAGCGGUAAGGCCCUUUCGGGGGUACACGAGCGGCGAACGGGUGAGUAACACGUGGGUGACCUGCCCUCAGCUCUGGGAUAAGCCUGGGAAACCGGGUCUAAUACCGGAUAUGACUCCAUGACGCAUGUUGUGGGGUGGAAAGCCUUGUGCGGCUGAGGAUGGGCCCGCGGCCUAUCAGCUUGUUGGUGGGGGAUGGCCUACCAAGGCGACGACGGGUAGCCGGCCUGAGAGGGCGACCGGCCACACUGGGACUGAGACACGGCCCAGACUCCUACGGGAGGCAGCAGUGGGAAUCUUGCGCAAUGGGCGAAAGCCUGACGCAGCGACGCCGCGUGAGGGAUGACGGCCUGGUUGUAACGUAC